UGCCGUGGCGUGGCCCCACGGCAAAAUCCUUGCCGCCACACCAUAAUAAAAAAUAUAAAAAAUAUAAAAAAUAAAAUAAAAUAUAUAUAUAGCCUAUAUAUUAAAUUCAUAAAUUAAAAAAGUUAAACUUUCUAAAUAUUUCUGCCUAAAUGCGCUUUCAAAUCCAUACUGUCGCGUCCACAUUUAUUUUCCUAAAGAGCCUAGGCCGCGCGCACCGUGUUUGUUCCUUUCUGAGGUGGUCGGAUGACUUGCAGCGUGCGAAGGUCGCACGGUCUGUCAAAGCUAGGUAGCGACGCUUCAAAUAUUACAAAAAUACCAUAGUGUUAACUAGUGUUUUAAUUGGACCAAAAUAAGUGCCGGUACCUACUCCUCAAAAUACAUACUGUUUAAAAUAAAUUAAUGUUGGUAAUCAAAAGAAGAGUCGGUACUCAUAUACAAGUCCCAACAGCUCCUGCCCAUCUCAAGCACUGGCGUUAACUAUCUUUCGGUGAUGACAACUGGCGGAUCCUAACUCUGUUCGGGCAAGUGCAAUGCCUCAUGCAGUUGUCUGAUCGGACAAGUAACAAAUAAAUGUGUUAAAUAUGUAACGUUAUCUGAAAAUAAACAGUGUUUGAGCCGAAGCCGAACCUGUUCCAGUUGAGCUACGUACGUGCCUACCAUUUUUUUUUUUUUUAAUCUAGAGCUAGUUAUAACGGCCGCAAAAUGUUGGCAAAUUGCCAAAA